UGGCCCGUUGGUCAAGCGGUUAAGACACCGCCCUUUCACGGCGGUAACACGGGUUCGAAUCCCGUACGGGUC
rnacentral:tRNA from 1 species